rnacentral:rRNA from 1 species
UACGUAGGGUGCGAGCGUUAAUCGGAAUUACUGGGCGUAAAGCGUGCGCAGGCGGUUUUGUAAGCCAGAUGUGAAAUCCCCGGGCUUAACCUGGGAAUGGCAUUUGGGACUGCAAGGCUUGAGUGCGGCAGAGGAGACUGGAAUUCCUGGUGUAGCAGUGAAAAUGCGUAGAUAUCAGGAGGAACACCGAUGGCGAAGGCAGGUCCCUGGGCUGACACUGACGCUCAUGCACGAAAGCGUGGGAGCAAACAGG